rnacentral:hammerhead_ribozyme from 2 species
CCGCGAAACGCCCACACCUUAACGGGACGGGCGUCUAUCCAGCGUGGCAACUGGGUACUGAUGAGCAGCCACUA